CUCAGCAUUGGGCAGGUGUUUGGUGGAGAAGGGCAGGUGCCGACACAAGCGAGGGUGCAAGCGAGCAGUAUUACCUGAGCUCGCUGAAGGCUGACAACUGCAGUGAAGAUGCCUCAGGGAGCUCCAGGAUUGUUGGAGAGAUAUCAGCUCACAAAAAAAAUGCCCCAAACUAUCUAUAAUGAUGCAACGAACAACUGACAGCAAUACUCAUGAAUCAUCAAACCUCAAACACAUUCAGGCCUAUUAUGCCGGAUCGAGAACGGUGAAAAAAUGUGAACACUGCCGGACCAAUUGGCCCGUUCACCAAGCGUAAAAACAAACAGGCACGUGAAAUUCGGGGCAAUUGCAUGUUUAAUGGGCUUAAUUGCCCGUUUAAUUGUCAGUGGGCAUGCUUUCAAUUCCUUCACACGCUCGCCGACCAUAACAUUGUGCAAGAGCACUUCUUCUCGUGCGAUUUCUUGCAAGGGCAGGUCCAGCCCGUGCCCGCUCAAGCGCCAUGAAAUUCUGGCCUAUGAGUCCAGCCUCAAGCUAGCCCAAAGAUACAGCCUCAAUGAACGACUACUUUGGACAUUUGACGGGGUGGCAUUUGGCACUGAUCUCACCGGAGUGAUUUAGCAGAGAAAAAAUUGACUUCUUUAGAAAACCAUCGAAGAAAAUUCUGUCCUAGGUCCAGUAAAGCAGAAGACUUCUGAUCUCCUGAUACUACUAAUUUGCAGCGUUUGCCAAGACAUGGGGAUUCAAGCACAUGUCACCACCACCUCAAUAUCCAUAAAGUUAAAAAUGACAUCAAGGCCUGUCAAUCGACUUCAGAAACACAAGGAUUCCAGUCAGAGUUCCUAGCAACACACCAAGUGAAAGUGUAAGCCUUGCACAGAGACAUUUGAGUCAUAGGAGCAAGACAUUACACUCUAUUUCUAGAACACUCCUGCAACCUUGAUUUCACAGAGGAAGACACUUGGGUGUGUUUGGUGUGAAGCAACGUCAGCAACAUUACUUGCAAAGGAAUGUGAAACACUUCAAGUAAUACAACCUGUUGGUAGAGGGUGGAUUAAAUUCUCUGGCUAGAGUAGUUGGGAAUACUGAAAUGUGUAUAAGUGUGGUGGGUCCUAGAAGUUACAACGAGCAAGUCAGGGACUCAUCAUAUCACAGGAAUCAAUGUCAGUUGAUUAAUGCUGAUGACCCACCUGUAAUCAAAACUCCUUGGGUUGAGGACUUUUCUGAAACACAGGUCCUCAGCAGUCCUCUGCAUGGUCCAAAACAAGUAACAAUGACAACACCCAAAACUACUGGUAGUUAGAUUGCGAUCAUCACAACUGGAAGACAGUGUCAGCCUGUAUGUCAGUUGAAUGACUAUUUGUUAGAGCGCCUACUUGAAAUUGUGCUUUGUUUCAGUUAAAUUUCAGAAUUUCACACAAACUCAACAGGUGGUACAUCUUUUUCUUUUUGGAGGGGGUAAGAUGUGACCCAGAGCAGGCUUGCUUUCCAUACAUGCAUGUCAUCAUCAUGUGAUUCCUCUGUUUUCUCGUGUGCACGUAUGGGCUCCAGCAAAGCAGCAAACUUCGCCUAAUGCUGAAAUCACUAAGUUCACUUAUUUUACAUGCUUAAUAACGCAUUGAUACUCUAACAACUCAUAGCAACGCCUACUAUAUAAAGAGGUACC